AUUGAACGCUGGCGGCAGGCCUAACACAUGCAAGUCGAGCGUGCGGCGGGCGUGUGUGUAAUGCCUGGGAAUCGCCCUGUCGAGGGAUAUAACCGUUGGAAACUACUGCUAAUACCGCAUACGCUUGUAUUUCCCAGGUGCGUUUCGCUAGUGGGGGAGGUAAUGUCCCACCAAGGCCACGAUCCCUAGCUGGUCUGAGAGGAGGAUCAGCCACACUGGAACGGAGAAACGGUCCAGACUCCUACGGGAGGCAGCAGUGGGGAAUAUUGCACAAUGGGGGAAACCCUGAUGCAGCCAUGCCGCGUGUGUGAAGAAGGCCUUCGGGUUGUAAAGCACUUUCAGCGAGGAGGCGUUACUCGCAGAAGAAGCACCGGCUAACUCCGUGCCAGCAGCCGCGGUAAUUC
rnacentral:rRNA from 1 species